GACGAACGCUGGCGGCGUGCCUAAUACAUGCAAGUCGAGCGGACGGAUGGGAGCUUGCUCCCAGACCGUCAGCGGCGGACGGGUGAGUAACACGUGGGCAACCUGCCUGUAAGACUGGGAUAACUCCGGGAAACCGGGGCUAAUACCGGAUAACUCUUUCCCUCACAUGAGGGAAAGCUGAAAGAUGGCAUCUCGCUAUCACUUACAGAUGGGCCCGCGGCGCAUUAGCUAGUUGGUGAGGUAACGGCUCACCAAGGCGACGAUGCGUAGCCGACCUGAGAGGGUGAUCGGCCACACUGGGACUGAGACACGGCCCAGACUCCUACGGGAGGCAGCAGUAGGGAAUCUUCCGCAAUGGACGAAAGGCUGACGGAGCAACGCCGCGUGAGUGAUGAAGGUUUUCGGAUCGUAAAACUCUGUUGUCAGGGAAGAACAAGUACCGGAGUAACUGCCGGUACCUUGACGGUACCUGACCAGAAAGCCACGGCUAACUACGUG
rnacentral:rRNA from 1 species